rnacentral:rRNA from 1 species
AUACGUAGGGGGCGAGCGUUGUCCGGAAUGAUUGGGCGUAAAGGGCGCGUAGGCGGCCCGGUAAGUCUGGAGUGAAAGUCCUGUUUUUAAGAUGGGAAUUGCUUUGGAUACUGUCGGGCUUGAGUGCAGGAGAGGUAAGUGGAAUUCCCAGUGUAGCGGUGAAAUGCGUAGAGAUUGGGAGGAACACCAGUGGCGAAGGCGACUUACUGGACUCUAACUGACGCUGAGGCGCGAAAGUGUGGGGAGCAAACAGGAUUAGAUACCCUGGUAGUCCACACUGUAAACGAUGAAUGCUAGGUGUAGGGGGUAUCGACCCCUUCUGUGCCGCAGUCAACACAAUAAGCAUUCCGCCUGGGGAGUACGGCCGCAAGGUUGAAACUCAAAUGAAUUGACGGGG